GUCUAUAGCCAUACCACCCUGAGCACUCUUGAUCUUGUCUGAUCACAGAAGUUAAGCAGGGUCAGGCCUGGUUAGUACUUGGAUGGGAGAGCUGACCAGAAAUAUUUCCAAUCUAAAUA
ensembl:rRNA 5S_rRNA 5S ribosomal RNA